AUGAAACCUCUUUGUACCGAUGACUCCAGAAGGCUCUUCUAUAAAAGAGUAUUUACCGACGAGAGUGGACGCCCAAAUGAAUUUGAACAAGUGUCUAAAGAUAUAUUGAAGAAAUGUGGUGGGGUACCACUAGCCAUCAUUACUAUAGCUAGUGCUUUGGCUUGUGGCCAAGAGGUGAAACCAAAGAGUGAAUGGGAUAUUCUGCUCCAGUCCCUUGGCUGUGGACUAACAGAAGAUAACAGUUUGGUUGAGAUGCGGAGAAUACUAUCUUUCAGCUAUUAUAAUCUACCGUCUCAUCUGAAAACUUGUCUGCUAUACCUAUGUAUAUAUCCAGAAGAUAGCAAGAUUUAUAGAAAUGGACUGAUAUGGAAGUGGGUGGCCGAAGGAUUUGUCCACCAUGGAGAUCAAGGGACCAGCCUGUUUUUGGUCGGAUUAAACUACUUCAACCAGCUCAUUAAUAGAAGUAUGAUCCAGCCAAUAUAUGAUGAUCUAGGCCAGGUACAUGCUUGCCGUGUACAUGAUAUGGUUCUGGACCUUAUCUGCAACUUGUCACAUGAAGCAAAGUUUGCGAAGUUAUUGGGUGGUACUGGGGAUAGCAUGUCUUUACAUGGCAAUGUUCGUCGUUUGUCCCUUCAAGAUAGAAAUAAAGAUGAUCAAGGCACACCUCUCAGAAAUUUCACGGGUAUAUCACAAGUGAGGUCCAUUACUGUCUUUACAUCUGCUAUUAAUAUCAUGCCAGCCCUGUCAAGGUUUGAAGUUCUGCGUGUACUUGAUUUGUCGGGCUAUCUGGGAAAAAGUAGCAGCCUCCAACUUAACCUCAAGGGUGUUGGACACUUAAUUCACCUGAGGUACCUUGGUCUAGGAGGUACUGGAAUCAGGGAACUCCUGGCUGAGAUAGGAAACCUGCUGUUUCUGGAGGUGUUGGAUCUUGGAAGAAAUUAUCAGCUAGAUGAAUUGCCGCCCGCUGUUUUUAAAUUGAGAAGAUUAAUCUACCUGAAUGUUUGUCUCAAUAAGGUGGUUCCAACUCCUGGUGUGUUGCAGAAUCUGACAUCCAUUGAAGUGUUGAGGGGGAUCUUGGUCUCUCUGAACAUUAUUGCACAAGAGCUUGGCAACCUCACUAGGCUGAGGGAGCUUGUCAUUUGCUUCAAGGAUGGUAGUUUGGAUUUGUAUGAAGGUUUCGUGAAGUCUCUGUGUAACCUACAUGAUAUCGAAAGUCUAUUUAUUGAUCGCAAUGCCGGUGAAACUUCUCUUGAUCUGAUGGAUCUCUUGGGAGAACAAUGGGUGCCUCCUGUACAUCUCCAGAAAUUUGUGUCUUGUAUGCCCAGCCAACUAUCUGCACUGCAAGGGUGGAUAAAGAGAGACCCCUCGCAUCUCUCGAACCUCUCCGAGUUAAUCGUCUCGUCAGUGAAGGAGGUGCAGCAGGAGGACGUGGAAAUCAUUGGGGGGUUGCUGUCCCUUCGCCAUCUCUGGAUAAAGAGCACCCACCAAACACAGCGGCUGCUAGUCAUCCGUGCAGAUGGGUUCCGCUGUAUGGUAGACUUUGAGUUGAAUUGUGGGUCAGCAGCGCAGAUAAUGUUUGAACCAGGAGCUUUGCCGAGGGCGGAAGCAGUUGAGUUCAGUCUGGGCGUGCGGGUGGCGACAGAGGAUGGUAACUGUGGUUUCGACUUGGGCCUGCAGGGGAACCUGCUCUCCCUUCGACGGCGUGUCCGGGUUCUAAUAUAUUGUGGUGGAGCGAGGGUUGGGGAGGCCAAGGAAGCGGAGGCUGCGGUGAGGCGCGCCCUCAAAGCCCAUCCCGCAAUUGAAAUUUACAUGCUCCCGCAUAUAGCAGAAGGUACUGACGCUACACGCAACUAA
rnacentral:rRNA from 1 species